rnacentral:rRNA from 1 species
AGCGAACGCUGGCGGCAGGCCUAACACAUGCAAGUCGAACGAACCUUUCGGGGUUAGUGGCGGACGGGUGAGUAACACGUGGGAACGUGCCUUUAGGUUCGGAAUAACUCAGGGAAACUUGUGCUAAUACCGAAUGUGCCCUUCGGGGGAAAGAUUAAUCGCCUUUAGAGCGGCCCGCGUCUGAUUAGCUAGUUGGUUGAGGUAAUGGCUCACCAAGGCGACGAUCAGUAGCUGGUCUGAGAGGAUGAUCAGCCACAUUGGGACUGAGACACGGCCCAAACUCCUACGGGAGGCAGCAGUGGGGAAUCUUGCGCAAUGGGCGAAAGCCUGACGCAGCCAUGCCGCGUGAAUGAUGAAGGUCUUAGGAUUGUAAAAUUCUUUCACCGGUGACGAUAAUGACGGUACCCGGAGAAGAAGCCCCGGCUAACUUCGUG